UGGAUGCCUUGGCAUAAAGAGGCGAUGAAAGACGUGGCACUCUGCGAUAAGCUACGGGGAGGUGAGAGCAACCUUUGAUCCGUAGAUCUCUGAAUGGGGCAACCCGGCGCUUUAGCGUCAUCGUUAACUGAAUACAUAGGUUAACGAAGCAAACCCGGCGAAGUGAAACAUCUCAGUAGCCGGAGGAAAGGACAUCAACCGAGACUCCGUUAGUAGUGGCGAGCGAACGCGGACCAGGCCAGUGCUCUUAUCAAUCGAACCGGAACCGUCUGGAAAGUCGGGCCGCAGUGGGUGACAGCCCCGUACGGGUAGGAAAGAUAAGAGACUCGAGUAGGGCGGGACACGUGAAAUCCUGUCUGAACAUGGGGGGACCACCCUCCAAGCCUAAAUACUCGUAUGUGACCGAUAGCGAACAAGUACCGUGAGGGAAAGGUGAAAAGCACCCCGACGAGGGGAGUGAAACAGUACCUGAAACCGAACGCCUACAAUCAGUUGGAGGGCCCAUGCGGCCUGACAGCGUACCUUUUGUAUAAUGGGUCAGCGACUU
rnacentral:rRNA from 1 species